rnacentral:tRNA from 1 species
CAUUAUGAAGCUACAAAGCAUUAACCUUUUAAGUUGAAGAUUGGGAGUUAAACCUCCUCAUAAUGG